rnacentral:rRNA from 1 species
AAUCAACGCUGGCGGCGUGCCUAACACAUGCAAGUCGAACGAGAAAGUGGAGCAAUCCAUGAGUACAGUGGCGCACGGGUGAGUAACACGUGACUAACCUGCCUUCGAGUGGGGAAUAACCUCGGGAAACCGGGGCUAAUACCGCAUAACAUCAUCGGGUGAAAUUCCUGCUGAUUAAAUGUUUUUUGCUUGAAGAGGGGGUCGCGGCUGAUUAGCUAGUUGGUGGGGUAACGGCCCACCAAGGCAGUGAUCAGUAUCCGGCCUGAGAGGGCGCACGGCCACACUGGAACUGAAGUACGGUCCAGACUCCUACGGGAGGCAGCAGUGGGGAAUUUUGCGCAAUGGGGGAGACCCUGACGCAGCAACGCCGCGUGGAGGAUGAAGUCGCUUGGGACGUAAACUCCUUUCGAUCGGGAAGAAUAAUGACGGUACCGGAAGAAGAAGCCCCGGCUAACUUCGUGCCAGCAGCCGGUAAAA